rnacentral:sRNA from 1 species
GGUACCACUCUGUUUUUUUUCCUUUUUUG